rnacentral:rRNA from 1 species
UACAGAGGGUGCAAGCGUUAAUCGGAAUUACUGGGCGUAAAGCGCGCGUAGGUGGUUUGUUAAGUUGGAUGUGAAAUCCCCGGGCUCAACCUGGGAACUGCAUCCAAAACUGGCAAGCUAGAGUAUGGUAGAGGGUGGUGGAAUUUCCUGUGUAGCGGUGAAAUGCGUAGAUAUAGGAAGGAACACCAGUGGCGAAGGCGACCACCUGGACUAAUACUGACACUGAGGUGCGAAAGCGUGGGGAGCAAACAGG